GCCAGCAUGGUGUAGUGGUUUGAGCGUUGGACUAGGACUCUGGAGGCCAGGGUUUGAAUCUCGGCUCAGACA
rnacentral:tRNA from 1 species